AGAGUUUGAUCAUGGCUCAGGACGAACGCUGGCGGCGCGCCUAACACAUGCAAGUCGAACGGAGUUAUUUUCUUCACUCCGAGCUUUUUGCCAGUUAGCCGGAGCGGCAAUCGGUUUUGCCCAGCAUAAAAAGCAAAACCGAUUUAGGCUCAUAAAGUAAGACUAACACAGAGGGCAGAGAGUUGGGAGUGAAGAAAAUAACUUAGUGGCGAACGGGUGAGUAACGCGUGAGUAACCUGCCCUGGAGUGGGGGACAACAGUUGGAAACGACUGCUAAUACCGCAUAAGCCCACGAUCCGGCAUCGGAUUGAGGGAAAAGGAUUUAUUCGCUUCAGGAUGGACUCGCGUCCAAUUAGCUAGUUGGUGAGGUAACGGCCCACCAAGGCGACGAUUGGUAGCCGGACUGAGAGGUUGAACGGCCACAUUGGGACUGAGACACGGCCCAGACUCCUACGGGAGGCAGCAGUGGGGGAUAUUGCACAAUGGGGGAAACCCUGAUGCAGCGACGCCGCGUGGAGGAAGAAGGUUUUCGGAUUGUAAACUCCUGUCGUUAGGGACGAUAAUGACGGUACCUAACAAGAAAGCACCGGCUAACUACGUGCCAGCAGCCGCGGUAAAACGUAGGGUGCAAGCGUUGUCCGGAAUUACUGGGUGUAAAGGGAGCGCAGGCGGACCGGCAAGUUGGAAGUGAAAACUAUGGGCUCAACCCAUAAAUUGCUUUCAAAACUGCUGGCCUUGAGUAGUGCAGAGGUAGGUGGAAUUCCCGGUGUAGCGGUGGAAUGCGUAGAUAUCGGGAGGAACACCAGUGGCGAAGGCGACCUACUGGGCACCAACUGACGCUGAGGCUCGAAAGCAUGGGUAGCAAACAGGAUUAGAUACCCUGGUAGUCCACGCCGUAAACGAUGAUUACUAGGUGUUGGAGGAUUGACCCCUUCAGUGCCGCAGUU
rnacentral:rRNA from 1 species